CUGGCUCAGGAUGAACGCUAGCUACAGGCUUAACACAUGCAAGUCGAGGGGCAGCAGGAAUCUAGCUUGCUAGAUUGCUGGCGACCGGCGCACGGGUGAGUAACGCGUAUCCAACCUUCCCCAUAGUAGAGGAUAGCCCGGCGAAAGUCGGAUUAAUACUCUAUGUUGUAUUUUUGAGGACAUCUGACGAAUACCAAAGAUUUAUCGCUAUGGGAUGGGGAUGCGUCUGAUUAGGUUGUUGGCGGGGUAACGGCCCACCAAGCCGACGAUCAGUAGGGUUCUGAGAGGAAGGUCCCCCACAUUGGUACUGAGACACGGACCAAACUCCUACGGGAGGCAGCAGUGAGGAAUAUUGGUCAAUGGACGAGAGCCUGAACCAGCCAAGUAGCGUGCAGGACGACUGCCCUAUGGGUUGUAAACUGCUUUUAUAGGGGAAUAAAGUCCACUACGUGUAGUGGUUUGUAUGUACCCUAUGAAUAAGGACCGGCUAAUUCCGUGCCAGCAGCAGC
rnacentral:rRNA from 1 species